rnacentral:rRNA from 1 species
UAUGUGAUCGUCUCUCGCAUAUCAAUAAGCGGAGGAAAAGAAACUAACAAGGAUUCCCCUAGUAACGGCGAGUGAAGCGGGAAGAGCUCAAAUUUGAAAUCUUAAAGGGUUUCCCUUUACGAAUUGUAGUUUAAAGAAGUGUUUUCUGUUGAGGUUUUGGUAAAAGUUCUUUGGAAUAGGACAUCAUAGAGGAUGAGAAUCCCGUAUUUGACCUUUACUUUCAACUUUGUGAUACACUUUCAAAGAGUCGGAUUGUUUGGGAAUGCAGUCCAAAAUGGGUGGUAAAUUUCAUCUAAAGCUAAAUAUUGGCGAGAGACCGAUAGCGAACAAGUACCGUGAGGGAAAGAUGAAAAGAACUUUGAAAAGAGAGUUAAACAGUACGUGAAAUUGUCAAAAGGGAAGCGUUUGACACCAGUGUUGUUUUUCUGAAAAUCAAUUAAAGAACUGUUUAUGCUAAGUUGUUUAGACUUUAUCAGCUAACUGUUUAGUUUUGAGCUUUUCUUUAAUGCACUUUUCAGUUAACAAGUCAACAUCAAUUUCUUUUGCUGUAAAAAAGCUUGAGGAAGGUGGCUUGAGAUUCGUCUUAAGUGUUUAUAGCCUCUUGCCUAUGCAGUCGGAGAGAUUGAGGUCUGCAGCGUAGAUCCUUCGGGGCUAAAUGCAUUUGUGCUAAGUUAUAGCAUUUUAUAGACAACUUGUUGACUAUGAUUUGUCUUGUAGCUUACUCGCUUAUGUUAUUUUACCUACGCUUAGGAUGUUGAAUCUGUGCGAGACUAC